UACGUAGGUGGCAAGCGUUGUCCGGAAUUAUUGGGCGUAAAGCGCGCGCAGGCGGUCCUUUAAGUCUGAUGUGAAAGCCCACGGCUCAACCGUGGAGGGUCAUUGGAAACUGGGGGACUUGAGUACAGAAGAGAAGAGUGGAAUUCCACGUGUAGCGGUGAAAUGCGUAGAGAUGUGGAGGAACACCAGUGGCGAAGGCGACUCUUUGGUCUGUAACUGACGCUGAGGCGCGAAAGCGUGGGGAGCAUACAGG
rnacentral:rRNA from 1 species